GGAGAGGUCUCUGCGUGGGAAGUUCUGGGCGCUGCGGGCCAAGCUUCUGCAGAAGAUGUUUUAUCACAUUUCCCUGGAGCACGAGAUCCUCCUGCACCCACGAUACUUCGGUCCAAACUUGCUCAACACGGUGAAGCAGAAGCUGUUUACCGAGGUGGAGGGGACCUGCACUGGGAAGGCUUGUCGCUUACUCUGAGGAACCCUUUCACCCCUCCAGGCACCUGAAGCAGCCAGUUUUUGCCUGUUUUAGACACUCUGAAAAGCUACUAAAGAAAAUUUUCUUCCCUUAUGUGAGAUAAGACCGUUAUUAUGCAAAUGUUUUUGAGUUUUGAGAUGGCCUCACUAUGUGGACCAAGCUGGGCUCUAAUUCAGAGAUCUGCCUGCCACUGAGUGCUGACAUUAAAGGCUUUCAUC
rnacentral:lncRNA from 1 species